ensembl:lncRNA
CAGCAGGCUGUUGAAUUAUUAGCAUCAUAACAGUUUGCAAACAAUUAAACUUUAUUUGAACCUUAAAAAUUUGCAGAGUGGAACAUUAUUGUAAGAUCUAAUGGCAAUAGAGUACAAAUUCAGUACAGAGCAAAUAAUCAAGCAAAAUGCUAUAUAAAAUAUGACUUACAAUCACCUUUGAAAAAAAUUAGCUCUCUAACUGUUCAUAGAAAAACAAAUAAAGGCUAAGCAAACAUAAUGAGAACAUAGCAAUUAGCAUAUUUUCUAACAAGCCAUUUUGUUUAAAUUCACAUUAAUGAUAUUAUUAUGAUCUUGAGGAGUGUGUGAUAUAUUGUCAAGGGUGUAAAGAAAACUUUCUCCCUGGUAGUAUACAAAUGAUUUCACUAAAUGAAUAUAAAGGACUCAUGAAUUGAAAAUAACGAUUAUUUCUCUUGCCACUCCAAUUUUAAAGCUUUUGUUUCCUUUCUUAUCUCCCACCUAUGUUCAAGUUAAAAAAGAACAAAGGCCAGAGGAGCUCCGGACAAAAGUCACACUUUAUUUCUGUAUUGUCACCAUUCAGAGAGAGACUAUCGGGCUUUGAAUCGUUGGUCAUCAGUUGGCAAAGGACUCCCUCUCCUGGAUUAACUGUACAAAGAGGCAAAAACCUUCUAAAUGCACCACAUUCUGUGUGACUUUGUGCCUGAGUGGGGGAGGGGUUCCAAGCGGUCUAGUCUGCAAUGAAAAGCUGCUGCCAUCUACUGGCCCAGGACCAACAUCUUCCCUUAAACCAGAACCUCGAAACCUGUUUCCACCAAGUCUGCGUUUUCAGUGGAAACUCACAACUGCUUUUUACUUUUCAGUCUCUCAGGCUUUGAAAACCAGGCCACUGAAUUCAUCUCCAGUUGUCUUACUUUUGCCAAGAUGAUUUCAAUCUAUUCCAAUGGCUUUACAUUAGGAAAAGAUUAACGAGUGCAGAAAUUAAUUUCUGAAAGCUUUAACUUGACAAUGUCUAAUUUAUAUAAACUAGAGUUUACCUACAAUCUCUAAAAUUAAUAUUUCUUUUUACAUUUGAAAUAGGAUGAUCACAGUAUUGAGGAGACAACGGUAAAACAUAAACUCUGAGAUAUUGCUUGUAAAUAGUUUUAUAUAAAUAAUGGAGGUUUUAAAAUAUUAUCAGAUCAUUUGCAUGGUUAGAAUCUUUAUAAAGCAAAGAUCUGAACAGUUCAAAAAAGGUAGUACCUACUAAUCAAAGAUUCACUAUUAGAUUAUAUCUACUCCAAAUAUUAUCCAAACAGCAGUACAUUCUGAUAUAUAUUAAGGCCAUACUGGUACCUUGUAGGCAUUUAAAAUACCUUGGAUUUCAAGUAUACGUGAAAAGGUAAUGACAUAAUCCCAGAAAUCUUGCUCAGGCGCACAACGUAUACUUCCAGCGUCAGGCUAAUGAUACCCUCCCACUCACCUGUUGGUACCUGUGCCCACCUCGAUUUCCACACUCCCCUCUCUGAGCCUUCCUCUUCUUUUCAUGGCUCUGAGAUGUGCGGAGGAGACUCCAGUCUGGAGGUCUGCUGUUUUGUAGUGGGGCUUUAACAGCACGGUAAUGAUCCGGCAGGAUAAAAGAGUGCUCUGCUAUGCCUUCUUACUUUGGGAAUACAUUGAGGUUCUUUAUGUCUUUAUAUUAGUGGCAGAAUGGGGUUUCUUAUGAAUUUUCUAUUUUAUUAAAUUCAAACAAAACUAUGGUAGAAAAUUAGCAAGUCACUCAUCUAACUAGGAUAUUUGUUAUUGAUAAAGGGCUUUGCACAAACCAUGAUUCUGGUCUGCACAUGAGUGGCAGAAGGUGACAGCACACUACCAUCUGCAAUUCUAUCAUCUUCUCUAUUUUGUGGCUAUAUGUAACCUAAAGUAAAUUUGCCAAUCAGUAAUAAUUCUUUCAUGAAAACAUGUUACUGUUGUGUGAAAAAUAAAUACUAAGAUAAACCACCUGCAAAGUUUUAACAAAGCCACAUUCUUUAGAUAGCGUCUACCAAAAGCUUGCAUAUAUUCACUUAAAAUUUCUAUGAAAUUAUACAUUACAUUCCAAAAAAAUAACCAAUGUCCAAUAUUAAGAGAAAUUACAACUCAUACAGGAAGUAGCAGUGGCUAUGUGGUACAUAUAAAAUAGUGCUGAAUUCUUCACACAAAUCAAAUAAGUAAAUAAAAACUACAAUUAUUUCCUUGCAAAAUACCAACAGGUAUAACUUUACUGCUUGCAUCUAAUUUACAUUAGUAUCCUUCAUUUAAUUUCACAACAGAGGGCUAUUAUUAUGAAUGUAUAAAAUAGCAAAGACAGACAAUGUUCAACAAGAAAAGGAAAGGUUAUGAGCUGUCACUCAUGUUUUCACGAUGAUUCUAAAUCCAAAGCAUUUGCAGACUCACAGAAGAAUCUUCUUUUUCUGCAGCCAGACAGGGAAAGUUGCAUUUUAAUUUUUUUCUUCAGUUGAAAUGUUGGUUUUUCCCUGCUCAGAAAAAAAUCACAUUUUUAGCCAAGGAAAAGUGAAUGUUUACUCAACAUUUUGCCAAUUCAGCUCCUCAGACAGGCCAUAAAAGUGGUAUUUUACUAAAGAAGGGGAGGUCUGGGAAAACAGCUGGUUAUUAUCAAGAGGAUUUUCUUGAAAUAAU